GACAUCUUCCCACACACACACAAGCUGUGGCUCUCCGACUAUGCACCAACCAGGGGCUGCCUGGUGCAGGCCAGAGCUCUGGAGUGGUGUCUGCCGGGCGUCUCGACUCCUCAUCUUCCUGGAGUAACGGGAAAACCAGGGCGCAGACCCCUGCGCAUUCUCAGGUGCAGAUACCCGGACGCUGCAGCGUUCAACGAAGGGUGCUUAUCACGAAUGGGUUUUGAUAAGCAGAUUCUACUGUUAUUUGCCCGUUUCUCCUGGAUCCUGUGUCACCAAUAAAGACCGC
rnacentral:lncRNA from 1 species